ensembl:lncRNA
GUGAAUUUAUCCGCAGUUCUGAUGGCUGUGUGUUUAUUCCUGUUCCUGCUAUUGCAGCAUGUUCACUCUCUGCCUGUAUGUGAGCCACCUUUAACACACCACCUUACUCUCUCCCAGUGUUACCACUUUACACCCAUAAAUACAUAAAGCAAAUGUAAAACCAAAAGUAAAUGAAGUAUGAAGACUUUGUUUCUUUAGAACUGUUUUAUCAAACUUUUUACUUCUACUCCUUACAUUUUCAUAGAAUAAUCUUUACUUUCUAGUCCUUACAUUUUAAAAUUACUCAUAUGUAAUUCUUACUUUUUUUCAUUCGGAUUCUCAUCAUUAAAAAAAACCCCAGAUAAAUCGCUCCUUCCGGAUAGAGUGAAUUUAAUUGUGGUCGGAUGAGAAGUAUAAACAUAAUCCAUUCUGGUCAGCUGGUUGUUUGUUUCGUCAACUUUUUUCCUCUCUUUCACGCAGUUGUCGCAAGUGGUUAUGGGAAAUGUAGGCAGUGAUAGUAACAGUGAUAGUGGGGAGGUAAGUCUUUCCUUACAUUAUUAUUAGUAUUGAUCUGUCCAUCAUCUGUAUUAUAUUAACUCCCUCUCUGUCUCUCUGUUUCUCAGAUUUUUCCUGUCCUCCAUUCGCUACUUUCUCAGAUUCAGAUGCAGAUUCAGAAUUCCCGCCCUAUCGCUCCGGUUCAAAAUGCUGGAAUUCCGAAUGUGCCACAGGUUCCUGUUGCUGUGAUCCCGAUCCCAGCCAAUAAUCCUGUUUUUCACUCACAACCCCUUGUUCCUGCCCUGCCCGGGGAACUGCUGAAUCCAUUUUACCCUGAAAUACACCCCUUCUCUCUGCCUUCACCUGCUCUUGGUCCUAUUGAUCCAGUUUUCUCCCAACCAGGACUGUCCCAGCCUCUGCCUAACCCUUUCCCCCAACUGACUGGGCUUCCUUCUCCUUUUGAUCCCCUCCCACCCUAUUUCUUCCCCCCUCAAUCAGGGCUACCUUCGUUUGUAGCCCCUCCCCCUCUUCCCAUUCCAGGAAGUCCCUUCCCCUCUUUGACCAAUCCGCUUACUUCUUCACUGUAUGGCAACCAGCCAAUUACGAUUGAUGUUCGGGAGCUUCUAAGGCAACAAGGUUCCACCCCUGGUAAUCGAUCAGCCAUAGUCAAUAUUCAGGAUAUUAUAAGGCAACAAGGAUCCAUCCCUGGCAACCAGCCAAUUUCAAUUGAUGUUCGGGAACUUCUACGGCAACAACGAGCCAACCCUGGAAAUCAAGGAGAGUUUGUCAUACCACCAAUGAUAAAUGGUGUAUCACAGGGAUCACCAUUCCAAAUGCCAAACAUUCCUUCUCUGCAGCUGCAGCAAGCAGAUGACGCACCCACUGAGCCAGCCAAUCAGGAAGCAGAUGGCAAUAUGGAUACAGAGCAGGUAGAUAUUUACUUGUAUAUUUACUGAUCCAGAGAGAUCAAAAUCAAUCAGUAUCUACU